CCUACGGGAGGCAGCAGUGAGGAAUAUUGGACAAUGGGCGAGAGCCUGAACCAGCCAAGUAGCGUGAAGGAUGACUGCCCUACGGGUUGUAAACUUCUUUUAUAAAGGAAUAAAGUGAGGCACGUGUGCCUUAUUGUAUGUACUUUAUGAAUACGGAUCGGCUAACUCCGUGCCAGCAGCCGCGGUAAUACGGAGGAUCCGAGCGUUAUCCGGAUUUAUUGGGUUUAAAGGGAGAGUAGAUGGGUUGUUAAGUCAGUUGUGAAAGUUUGCGGCUCAACCGUAAAAUUGCAAUUGAUACUGGCAGUCUUGAGUACAGUUGAGGUAGGCGGAAUUCGUGGUGUAGCGGUGAAAUGCUUAGAUAUCACGAAGAACACCGAUUGCGAAGGCAGCUUACUAGACUGCCACUGACAUUGAUGCUCGAAAGUGUGGGUAUCAAACAGGAUUAGAUACCCUUGUAGUC
rnacentral:rRNA from 1 species